rnacentral:sRNA from 1 species
UGUAUUCUUUGUACCAAGAGCACUGCUGC